AGCGAACGCUGGCGGCAGGCCUAACACAUGCAAGUCGAACGGACCCUUCGGGGUUAGUGGCGGACGGGUGAGUAACACGUGGGAACGUGCCUUUAGGUUCGGAAUAGCUCCUGGAAACGGGUGGUAAUGCCGAAUGUGCCCUUCGGGGGAAAGAUUUAUCGCCUUUAGAGCGGCCCGCGUCUGAUUAGUUAGGUGGCGAGGUAAUGGCUCACCUAGGCGACGAUCAGUAGCUGGUCUGAGAGGAUGACCAGCCACAUUGGGACUGAGACACGGCCCAAACUCCUGCGGGAGGCAGCAGUGGGGAAUCUUGCGCAAUGGGCGAAAGCCUGACGCAGCCAUGCCGCGUGGAUGAUGAAGGUCUUAGGAUUGUAAAAUCCUUUCACCGGUGAAGAUAAUGACUGUAGCCGGAGAAGAAGCCCCGGCUAACUUCGUGCCAGCAGCCGCAGUAA
rnacentral:rRNA from 1 species